rnacentral:lncRNA from 1 species
GGGGCCUGGCCGGAAGAGGGCGUCGCGGGGGUGUGGCCUAGAAGGGUUUCUCUGGCUCCCUCACUCCGGCUUCCCUCGCUGCUUCCUGUGUGCAGUGAGGUGAGCAGCGCCCCUCCACCGGGCCCUUCCACUUUGCCACUGACCAUGCAAGGGCUGAAGCUUCUGAAAUGUGAGCCAAAAUCGAACUCUCCUCUUUUAAGUUGUGGACUUGGUGUUGCGUCUCAACAAUGAGAAGCAGAUACACUCCAACAUUAUCGGUACCUUAUUACAAAGAAGGCCACAAAAUGCAGGCAUCAGGGAGCCAGGCGACGCUGGUGUUUCACGGGGCAAGUGGGUCAACCAGCUGCCCUGCCACUCCCCAGCACCCUGCUGACCCUGACCACUGGACCAAUCACUGCCUCUGGCAGAGGAUAACUAUGGACCCUGUCCCUGAGGAAGACGCUGUGGAGGAGGGGACAUCGGGGAUGACACAGAUGGGAAGUCAAGGCAGCAGCAAGAGGGUAACUUGCCCCACUGAGAAGACAAGAGACAGCUGGCACUCACCUGGUCCCCAGCCAUGCUCCAUGCACAGAAGCCGCCUGCAUGGAAUACCGACGCUGUCACACUCCAGCUGGGACACUUCACCAACACUAGGCCCGCCUCUUCUGCCUUUCUUCUCCCUCAAACUCCCAAGGACCGUCCUGCCUUCACCCGCCCAGCAAAACUCCCUCCUGCGGCAGGACAUUCCGCUCACUCUGUAGCUGUACUCCAGCAAAACUCCCUCCUGCGGCAGGACAUUCCGCUCACUCUGUAGCUGUGCUCACCUGCAGGGGCAGAAGGCCCCAUCUCGGGUUUCAUUCAGAUCUCAAGACCAGCCAGGUGUGGUGGCGCAUGCCUAUAAUUCUAGCACUUGGGAGGCUGAGGCAGGAGGAUUGCUGUGAGUUCCAGGUCAGCCUGGACUACAUAGCAAGACCCUGUCUUGGAAAGAAAUUAUUAAAAAAUAUGUGUCAAAGAUGAGAACCAAGAUAUCAUGUAAAGGUACAAGAUCCCAAU